GCUUUUUUUAAUUUAUUGUUAUAAUUAUCUUUUUCUUUAUUUUUAGAGGGGAGAAUGGAAAAGGAAUGUGGGGAGAGAGAGAUAGAGACGUCACAUUGUGACACGUGAUUAUCUGAAACCUGACCCAUGGACUCUUGUCCCCAAUUGAAUUAAAUCAUGUUUUAUGAUAAACACAGGUGUCGCAUUAAAAUAAAUGUUCAAAAUAACUGGCAAUCAACUUUCUUGGAGGUGAAAAGGUUAGAGAUAAACAAAAGUGGUAUAAAAGUUGUAUGUGAGAACUUUCUCGGAGAGUUUGGACAAAAGGGAAGACAGGCUCAAGAAGUCAAGCUAGAGAAGACGGAAUCAGCGUCAAACACAAAAAAAUUAAGAAAUCUGCUCGGAGAGUGAACGUAGAUCAGAAAUAGUGUCAACGGACUGUAAGGAAGAGUUCGAGAACAACAGAAAUCAAAGGAAGAAGGAAUUGUAGCUAAGGACUAAAUAUUCAUUUGGUGCGACUCCAAUAUGCCGUUAACUGCCGUCAUCGACUAAAACUCUGCAAGGACUAGAACAGCAGUCGAUUUACUGUUUUCCAGGGAGAACUCCAUCAACAACAUUUUUUGGAUUUAGUGUCAAGGUAGUUUCCUCUCCUAAUUGUCAGGCUCAUGUUAUAAAGGACUCUUGUCAGUUUUUCUGUUAAUAAAAGGAGAAGCUUAUUGUUAAGACAGUUGUCUCCCUCUGUUUAACCGUGUAUCGCCUCAUUACUUAUCCUUACCCACAAACGUGCCAUGCACUACAGUAAAAUCAUAAAUCUAUCAUCGUUCACCAGAUGAUCUCGAGGACUCCACAAUUAUUUAAUUUGUGAAUUAAAGAAUAAAUGAUGACAUAUUAAUAAAAAGAAAUUCUUUUAUUAAGAAAAUAUGAUUAAUUAAAGAUGAUAAAUCCUCUAAAAAGUACAGAAAGAAUUUGGUUAAAUUUACUACUGUUCAUAUUUUACUUCAGCAAUUCAUUUUUCCACUCAUUAUUAAUCAUUUUUCCAAUUGUUGCAAUAAUUGCC
rnacentral:lncRNA from 1 species